CCCCCUCCGCCCUCUGAGGCGAUGCCCGGCACGAAGGGAAGGCCGAGGCCGCAGGGAGACGGGCACCGCGGGUCAGGAUCAGGGGACACGGCGCCAGGAGGAGGCAGGACCCCCGGGAGGGCUGCGGAGGGGCAGGAGGCGGCUGCUCGUGUCCGCGGCAGGCGCUGUGGGAGCGGCAGGCGGACGCACCGCGGACACCCUUUAAAAACCCUUUUCCAAACCGACCCCACAGAACCGCAGGCAUCUAAAUUUUCUCCCGUACUGUUUUAAAGCCACGGGUGGCAGUGAAAUUGUAAGCAGGAGCCUGAACCAGCCUAAACGCAGAGCAGAGCCAAGACCUCCACGCAGCAAGAGAUGGCUGAAGGGCAACCACGGUACACGCCGAGGUCUGCUCAUCGCUUGCGCAGGCAUGGCACAGGCAAGGCUGACAGCAGUGCCCGCAGCCGGCACCAUGCUAGAGGUCAAACCACCCCUUGGCCCACCUUCCUUAGCAGCUGGGUUCGUGAGUUCUCUUCCUUUUUGUGCUGCACGUAUUAUCUGUUAGCAUAUUAAAUGUAUUAUAUUUAAUGAUUACAUACAUCUAGCUCUAAAUGUUACUGCCACCUAUAUUUUUUCGGCAAGUUUAAUGUUUACCAAGAGAGAAGGGGUUAGUAUUGUGCCAGGAGUACAAGGUAUAGACAUGGUCAGGUACAGACUGACUCUUAAAAUGGAGGGCUGAUUCAACACUGAACUAGUAUUGCUGGGGAAGGUUAAGUGCACUCAGACCCAUCCUGUUCUCCAACUUCUCUUGACCAGUAUUACAUUGUGUUUCAGAUGAGCAGUCAGUGUGGUUCUGUAUUAUUAAAUCCAGUUUGUUUCUUAACUUUAUUUUUAAAUGACUGGCCAUCUGAAACUCAUAAUCUGAAAAUCUUCUAACCUUAAGCAAAAAAUACGAUGACUAGAUUGCUGAAGGUCAAUCUGGGAGUACAGAAAGUGGACCCUAAUAUUCUACAUAGUAACAAUACCAUGUAAUUUAGUUUUGUGAUUAUGCUAUUUUUCAUGCAGCUAUUACGUGUACGUGCAUGCACAUAAGACAGUGAAUGAGACACCUGCAUUUUGAGCUCUUCCAUGCUUCUCUUCAACUAAAUGCAAUUUCGUGCACAAAUCUUCAUUCUGAAAAGUCUCAAACUCAUCAGAAUGUAGCAAAAUACACCCAGAAUUCAACAUAUGGCAAUGAAGAAAUAACUAUUUCUUUUGCUUCCCUCAGCCCAAACAUUUACUUUCCAAGCCGUGAGCAUGGGAUGAUUCCUUGGAGAAGGAUGGAUAUAAAAUAUACAAUACUUACCUGAAGCAGGCAGAGAGCCUUGAGGGAAAUACAAAACACUUUGCAGUGCAAUAGAUAACAUCAGAAAUGUGGCUUCCCCUUACCUGGGGUUCCAGUCAGGCAAAGGGUAUUUUUCUCCCCCAUCCUUCCACCAGCUGAACAACACACUGAGAAUACAGAUACUGUCACAAGGAAACAUGAGGAUGUUCAGCCUGACUUUACUCCUAGUAAUUAAUUUUUUAAGGUCCAGUAAGAGUAGUUCAAGUCUUGUUUUCAUUUCUAUUAAAAGUAUCUGAUAGAAACAACCAAGAAUAAAAUUUCUCACUAAUAAGAAUGGGUUAGAUCCCUUGUGUUUAUGCUUAAAAUGGGCAGUGCAGUUGUGUGCAGGAAGAAAGCUAACAGUAGAAGUUGUACUUUCUAGUACAGCUUAGAAGUUUAGGUUUUGUUUUGAUUACAACCUUUGCCUUUCGCCAUUUGUUCUGUCUGACCUUUCUUGCAGUUGGAAAUUACUGGGGGAAAUGCUAGGCUCUUUCAUCCUUAAGUUGUAGGAGAGAGUGGCAAGUGUCUUGUUAAAAUGGAUUAUGUCAUCCAUGGAUUCCUCUGCUGGAAAACCUUUCAGAUGAUGGUAUAAGUCUUGACAGGAAGAAGUGUAUGGAUAUUUAAUUUUCAAAUAAUCUUGGAAUAACAAAGGAACAUUUACAAUGUUCUGCAUCCUGUCCAAAUUAAAUGAUUUAGUGUUAUCAUUGUGAGAUAUAUAUAUAUAUACACACACACACAAUAUCACAUAGCCCUGAUGAGUAUAUGCUGGCUAAAAAUUGUUUCCUCCUAAAUACGUAUUAUGAGGAAGAUACUUCCUCUAUUCUCCUAAAUGGCAAUUUCUUUUUUUAAGCAAAAAGCAGCCCUGACUCCAAUUGAAAUGGGAUCCAGAUUUUUAGUAACAUAACUGUAAAGAAGAAAAAAAAUCAUCUGCAAAAUCAUUGCAAAGCAGUGCAAUAACCUGUUUUCUGAAGACUGAGAAUUUAGACCUUACUGCUCAAAAAUAUUCAAUACAAGGGACUUGAAAUGAGCUCUUUCAGGGAACUCAAUCACAACACUGCUUCACAUGGACUGCUGCUAAUGUAAAUGUUCAUCAUCAUCUCAUUUAAAUAACAAUGCACAAGUCAGGAAUUUGAAAGGGGUGGGGAGAAGAGUGAAAGGAUGCAAGUCUGGAAAGGGAACCAGUGUGUUAAUUCCUCAUAUUCAGGUUUUCUUCCAUCAGAUCUCCUAAUGAUGAGAUGUUUCUCUCAAAGUAUCAGUAUCAGUUUUUAAUACACAAUACAAAGCCUGAUCCAGAAUCAUCUGAGGUUAAUGAAUCCAAUGUGAAUUACUUGAUCAAGAUAAAUGACUUUACUGCAAGCUACUUCUGCUUACCGAGAUUACUAAUAGCAUGCCACUUCAAAGUACUAAUAAUAUAAAAUAACUUAUCUGAAAGUUUCUAAAGUUUGUAGAACAGUAGUGUAAUCUACUGUAAUCCUACUAAAGUUUAAAAAAAAUUCAAUGUUGAUUUCUUGGGCAAUAUCCAAGUGUUCUCCCUAGUUUGUACUUUUUUCUGAAGGUGUGCGAGGAAUUAUUCCAGAAUUCAAUUUGCUUUGAAAGGCUAGCAUUCACAUUCCAUAAGGAAAGAAACAAGAAGACUUAAGGAAAGCUAGAAACACUGAAGGGAGGAGUUUGCAAAGGAAUGCCGGAUCACUUUAUGGAGAUCAAACUCAGUUAAAAUUCAAUCAUCUCUAACACUGGAACAGAAAGCUUGAAAACCCCACUGACGAACACAUAGACCAUAAAGCAGCAGCAUCUAUAAGUGACAAAAAAGAUUCUCAAUCAUCUAAAAAUACUUGCUUUCCAGUCUGGCCUUCUGUGAGAGACAUCUAAUCAAAGUCUGCCCCCUUGUUACUUGAUACAUGAGAAGAAAUAAAUGCAUUGAUUUUGACUAAG